rnacentral:rRNA from 1 species
GAUGAACGCUGGCGGCGUGCCUAAUACAUGCAAGUCGAGCGAACAGACGAGGAGCUUGCUCCUCUGACGUUAGCGGCGGACGGGUGAGUAACACGUGGAUAACCUACCUAUAAGACUGGGAUAACUUCGGGAAACCGGAGCUAAUACCGGAUAAUAUAUUGAACCGCAUGGUUCAAUAGUGAAAGACGGUUUUGCUGUCACUUAUAGAUGGAUCCGCGCCGCAUUAGCUAGUUGGUAAGGUAACGGCUUACCAAGGCAACGAUGCGUAGCCGACCUGAGAGGGUGGUCGGCCGCACUGGAACUGAGACACGGUCCAGACUCCUACGGGAGGCAGCAGUAGGGAAUCUUCCGCAAUGGGCGAAAGCCUGACGGAGCAGCGCCGCGGGAGUGAUGAGGGUCUUCGGAUCGUAAAACUCUGUUAUUAGGGAAGAACAAAUGUGUAAGUAACUGUGCACGUCUUGACGGUACCUAAACAGAAAGCCACGGCUAACUACGUG